CUGGAAAAUUAAUCGAACGUCUCAGCCAUUCGUCCCGCAACAGUGUCCCGUCAAAUUAAUCGUCGUAGAAUUAUUUAGCUGUCGAUUUUCGAAACGCGUGUUACCCGCUUGACGAGCAGUCAACAUUGUAGUGCAUUCAUCGCGAAUUCAGACCAACUUCCGAUUCGAACUGUGGACGAUCGGCAGUCGGCCCGAAAUACUCGCGACGUAACCUCACAAUACGCUAUCGGUAAAGUGUGUCUACCAUCUGCGUCCGGAUGAUUGAACAAUAAACAAUGGCGUUAGUCGAGCGCACAAGUAUAAAUAUACGAGUAGACAAUAAUUUUGUAUCGCGAAACGAAAGAUUCCGCCACAAUAAAUUGUCCAACGGACGGUUUUUAAAAACGGGCGUCCGGGAAUCGGGCCACAACGGGCCUUUUUUUUUUUAAUCGGUAUG